UGGGGAAUAUUGCACAAUGGGCGCAAGCCUGAUGCAGCCAUGCCGCGUGUGUGAAGAAGGCCUUCGGGUUGUAAAGCACUUUCAGCGAGGAGGAAGGGUGGUGUGUUAAUAGCGCAUCACAUUGACGUUACUCGCAGAAGAAGCACCGGCUAACUCCGUGCCAGCAGCCGCGGUAAUACGGAGGGUGCAAGCGUUAAUCGGAAUUACUGGGCGUAAAGCGCACGCAGGCGGUCUGUUAAGUCAGAUGUGAAAUCCCCGCGCUUAACGUGGGAACUGCAUUUGAAACUGGCAAGCUAGAGUCUUGUAGAGGGGGGUAGAAUUCCAGGUGUAGCGGUGAAAUGCGUAGAGAUCUGGAGGAAUACCGGUGGCGAAGGCGGCCCCCUGGACAAAGACUGACGCUCAGGUGCGAAAGCGUGGGGAGCAAACA
rnacentral:rRNA from 1 species